rnacentral:rRNA from 1 species
UACAGAGGUCUCAAGCGUUGUUCGGAUUCAUUGGGCGUAAAGGGUGCGUAGGUGGCGCCGUAAGUCGGGUGUGAAAUUUCGGAGCUUAACUCCGAAACUGCAUUCGAUACUGCGGUGCUUGAGGACUGGAGAGGAGAUUGGAAUUUACGGUGUAGCAGUGAAAUGCGUAGAUAUCGUAAGGAAGACCAGUGGCGAAGGCGAAUCUCUGGACAGUUACUGACACUGAGGCACGAAGGCCAGGGGAGCAAACAGG